GGAAGCGUGCCUGCCCUUGGGCCCCCUACCCUAGUCCCAACCCAGUCCCAUAAAAGCACCGCCACUACCGCCUUCCUGCCGCCCUCCUGCACCAGGCGCCCCAGCCCUUGGCGUGACCCCGCUAGGAGAGGACUAGAUGCUUUAUGUUAGAGCGGGAGUGAGGUGGUGGCGUGCUGUGGCCUUGAAGGGCAUGCCCACCUGCUGGACAUCAGUGGGCUAAGGGGCAUGUGCCAUUCCCGUGGGAUACAGGGGUGGUGUGCCUUUGCUCCAGCCCCUCUGCAGGUUGGGCCAUGGCCAGCAGCGUUGCCACCUGCUCCGGAUCUCACCAAGAGUGGAGCCGGCCACAGUGCUUAGCGCACAUUCUUCCUCAUUGUACACCUUUCUCACCUUGUCUCCCGGACUCCCAGGGCUCCUAUUCAUCCUUCAGAGCCCUGCCUGGCAUCUGCUGCCCAGAAGUGAGCCUUCACCACAUGAAGCUACUUUGGCUUUUUAAAAAAUUUUAUUUUUUAAAAAAGAUUUACUUAUA
ensembl:lncRNA